rnacentral:lncRNA from 1 species
CAGCCCUAUAGGAGACACCUCCAGAGAAAGUAACAACUCUCAGUUGAUUAGCUGAGGUAUGUAUGUCAUUUAUGGCAAUACCUGUCUCCAUCCCCUCCGUCUUCUUCUAGGAGACCAAUUUUGUAAAUUGCUACUUUUCUAACAACAGUGGCACAGGUGGCCCAGCAUUCUCCCUUUUCUCAGAGCUGGUUUUCCAUCCUGGAAAGAGGUCUUACAUAUACAAAGUUACUCUAAUCAGUUGUGAGCAUGGUCAUAUAAAUUGUUAUUCAUUCAAAUUAUGGAAUAUUAUAAAGCAGUGAAAAACAAGUUAACUAUAAUCAGAUGGAAUAACUUUGAAGCUUCAGGGGCUGGAUCCUGACAUGAACCAGGCACCUCCAGAAUUCUAUCCCAAGCAAAAGAUUACUUCAAGGCCAGAACUCACUCCCUGCUGGAGACUGACUACAAGAUCCACUGAGAUUGACUUGUAACCUGAUUGGGCCCACAGUGAUGCUAGCCCCUUCACCAGAUGGAACAAUAAUUCCAGACAAGCCAUCAGAGCAGAGAGCAGAGAAGAGGAGAAGCAGCUGGACGUCUCUUGACGUUGGAGAAAAGCAGCUUGACUUCAGAGGGACAGUUUGACAGCAUGGAUUCAGAAAGGAGAAGAUCACCUUCCUGCUCCAUCCCCUUUCCAGCUCCCCUUCCCACUGAGAGCCACUUACACUGGCAAUAAAAUCCUCUGCAUUCACCACCCU